rnacentral:rRNA from 1 species
UACGUAGGUGGCAAGCGUUAUCCGGAAUUAUUGGGCGUAAAGAGCGCGCAGGUGGUUAAUUAAGUCUGAUGUGAAAGCCCACGGCUUAACCGUGGAGGGUCAUUGGAAACUGGUUGACUUGAGUGCAGAAGAGGGAAGUGGAAUUCCAUGUGUAGCGGUGAAAUGCGUAGAGAUAUGGAGGAACACCAGUGGCGAAGGCGGCUUCCUGAUCUGCAACUGACACUGAGGCGCGAAAGCGUGGGGAGCAAACAGG